UCAGAUAUGACAUGCUAUAUUAUUUCUUUCGAACUGUAUUUCUAUCCCGGUGCUGUUUCGAGCCGUUUGUUCCCGCUUCAGCGGCCUUCAGUCAGCGAGAGGUGACAGCCGUCGAGUGUUUUCAGAGAAGAAAAGGCUCCAAACACUGCAGCUGACUUUGGAUUCACCUGAGACAGCCUCUGAGGAGAAAUGUCAGACAGUCAGUGCUGCUAUUCUUCUGGAAAACUGCUGCUCUUCAAAGAACAGUCAUCAAUCAGGAUCCUCUGUUCCCAGAACAAACCAUUCAUCUGAAGGACUGUGAAAAUAUGACAGAACCACCAGUGACAACAAAAUAAAUAUUGCAGAAUAAGCAUAAUGUUAUUAAACAAAAUAAGUUAUUAUUAUUAUUAUUAUUUAGGGCUUGAUUAAAAAGAAAAGGAAUAGUGUUUCAUGUUUGUUUUGUGAUGGUGUUUCAUGAGUCUUUUGUUUGUCCUGAGCAGUUCAAUUGCCCACUUUUCUUCAUAAAAAUCCUCAAGAUCCUGCACAUUCUCAGGUGUUCCAGCAUCUUUUCAUUUGAACCCUUUUCAGCAGUGACUGUGUGAUUUCGGAUCCAUCUUUUCACACUGAGGACAAUU